rnacentral:rRNA from 1 species
AUUGAACGCUGGCGGCAUGCUUUACACAUGCAAGUCGAACGGUAACAGCACUUCGGUGGCUGACGAGUGGCGAACGGGUGAGUAAUACAUCGGAACGUGCCUAGUAGUGGGGGAUAACUACUCGAAAGAGUAGCUAAUACCGCAUGAGAUCUAAGGAUGAAAGCAGGGGACCUUCGGGCCUUGCGCUACUAGAGCGGCUGAUGGCAGAUUAGGUAGUUGGUGGGAUAAAAGCUUACCAAGCCGACGAUCUGUAGCUGGUCUGAGAGGACGACCAGCCACACUGGGACUGAGACACGGCCCAGACUCCUACGGGAGGCAGCAGUGGGGAAUUUUGGACAAUGGGCGAAAGCCUGAUCCAGCAAUGCCGCGUGCAGGAUGAAGGCCUUCGGGUUGUAAACUGCUUUUGUACGGAACGAAAAGCCCUCUUCUAAUACAGGAGGGUCAUGACGGUACCGUAAGAAUAAGCACCGGCUAACUACGUG